rnacentral:rRNA from 1 species
CACCCCCUUCCAGUAUCCAGUAGUGGGUAUUCAGUUACUUACUAUUGUGUGUUGGUCGUUUACUGUGAGAAAAUUAGAGUGUUCAAAGCAGGCGUUUGCUUGAAUAGAUUAGCAUGGAAUAAUAAUUGAAGGCUUUCGUGUUCGAUUUGAUUGGUUUGUUCAUGGAAGCAAGGUUAAAAGGAACAGUUGGGGGUAUUCAUAUUCACUAGUUAGAGGUGAAAUUCUCGGAUUUAUGGAAGAUGAACAAGUGCGAAAGCAUUUACCAAGGAUGUUUUCAUU